rnacentral:misc_RNA from 1 species
GCGGUGAUGCUGGUGACGGCCUUUGCGUCAAAUGGUUUCUCUUCAAUGGAUUCCUGGCAACAAGAUGCAAAAGUUAUCAUGGACCGUAAGAAUCAAUUAGGCAGUAGGUCAAAGGCAAUACCAGGACGACGAAGUAGCUUUACCCCAUCUGAGUCCAGUAUUUCUGUGGGUGAGGACAGCAACAAUGGUGGUGAAUCAUGCCGGAAUCAUGGACCUUCCAUGUACUCAAGAGCUUACGUGCAACCUAGUGAAACUCUGUCUGAUUUCCUCUUGGCUGAAGAUGACUUGCCUGACAUAGACAUGCUGGAUGUGGACAAUGAAAUCGAAUUGAAUGUAUGCCAAGAACCACCUUCAAUGACUGAUUUAAUGAAUGAGUUUCAUUAUCAGACUUAUCAACCUUACCAAUCUAACAAUAACAAACAACUUAUGCCCAUGAAUAACCUCAACGCAGACUGGGGAAUGAACAUAGUUUCAACAUCAGAAAUUCUCGGCAAUUAUCAUAACGAUAAGGGGAACCGACAGGACGAUAACAGAGAAGAAGAUGUACCGUAUGAAGAAGACAGUAGCGAAAGCCUCAGCUCAGCCCAAGAGCAGGUUGCGUCAUGUUUGUUCAACGGAGCCGUGAAAAGAGAAUUUCCUUGGAAAAGAGGCAGUAUCAGAGAUGACACUAAAAAAAAGAUUCGAAUGAGUGAUCUGGAAGAAGCAUAUAUAGUACAGAAAGUGGACAGACGUCAUCUAGAGCUGGCAUCACCAGCGAUGAAACGUUUCUAUAGAAAACUUGCUGUUCGAAAGUUAAAAAGAGAGCAUGGUUUACCGAUUUUUGACUUUGACCAUUUUGGUUGCAAAUCUGAUUCAUCUGAAAGAACUAAUGCAAGGAAUAACAGAGUAUUAGAUCGUUUUAUUGAUGGAAAUUCAAAAAGGGUUUACGAACAACGACUGCAGGGCUACAACGAACCUACAGCCGUCCAUAGUCCAUAUACGAAUCGAAUAUUGAAACCUUUUAUAAGGAGAGACACAUCUGCUCGACCAACAUGGCUGAAAUUAAUGGUGGAACUUCAAGCUAAAGUCAACAGAAAAAAACCAGAUUGGAAACCCUUAAAUAUAGCACCCAUAGACUAUUCUUACGUCCGACCGCAGCAUAUACCUGCAAUAAACAGUUUAUGUAGUCAAUUUUUUUGGCCUGGUGUCGAUUUGACCGAGUGCUUACAGUACCCAGACUUUAGCUGCGUUGUACUUUAUAAGAAAUUAGUUGUUGGAUUUGCAAUUUUAGUGCCAGAUGUAGGAUACAAUGAGGCAUACAUUUCAUUUAUUGUGAUCCGACCAGAAUGGCGUGGGGCUGGCAUCGGUACAUUCAUGUUGUACCAUUUGAUUCAAACAUGUAUGGGCAAGGAUGUUACUCUACACGUAUCAGCGACGAAUCCCGCUCUAUUACUAUAUCAAAAAUUUGGAUUCAAAGUGGAAGAAUUUAUACAAGAUUUUUAUGAUAAAUACAUUCCACCGAACUCUCGAGAAUGUCGACAUGCUCUUUUAUUACGACUGAGUCGAUGAUAUUUAGUUUUGUUCAUUUGUCUUGGAAAUGUAUUACGAGUGCACCUGCUUAAAAUGUCGGACAGAAACCGAUGGAUUCUUAAAGUUCUCAAUAAAAACCUUAAUCAAAAGCUAGUUAAUGAAUAUGGCUAAUGAUUACAGUUUUUAUCGGGAUCUACGAGUACCUAUCAGUUCCUAUCCGACAUUCCAACUAGAGUGGAAUGUUAAAUUGCCAUUAACAAUUACAAUAUAACUUAUGAAGUCUGAUGGUGUAAUGUAAACUCAUUAAUUUCAAUCUAACAUGCAUUAUAUUCUUCUGUAUGUACAUUGAAUACAAUUAAUAUCAAUGUUAUUCUUUCACUGUAAAACAAAUGAGAUUUUGGUUGAUAUAAAAAUUUCCAAACUGCAAGUCAGGUGCAAUGAAUCGCAUAUGCUGAGAGAGAUGAAAACAUGAAUUGUUUUGACGAUUAUACGAAAUUUAUUAUUGUUGCUGCGACUUUGUGUCAGAGAGAAAGAUAGGUGAAUGAACGGGUGCGAAGAGACAUGGAAAACUUGCAAUACCGGCAAUGAAUCUCGGAGCUUAUAAUCAGCCACUGAUCCAUAUACUAUGCUAUGUACGUAUGUAUAUACGUACGUACGCACAUGUAUAUGAGUGAGAUAGGGUCUACCUCGCAAACUCACAAUCAGCUGAAUUCGUUGGUCUACCUACUAUCCUAUCUAAUCCCGCUCCCUGCUACUCCCUACCUACUCUUGACAAUUUGACGCCCAUAUUUGACGCUCACUGCUUCUAAAAUUUCAUGGCUUUUAACUUAUCCUCGUUGCUUCUAACCACUGACGUUGAGUUCUACAUUCUGAUGUGUCGAACAAUAAGAAGAGCACAGUUGACAGUAGAUAUACAUAGUAUAGUAGAUAUAAGAUACAUAUAUGGUAGAUGUGUAUAGGUAUCAACCAUGGACAUAGGAAUAGUAUUAAUAUCCUACUAUUACUAUGUCCAUGGUAUCAACCCUUGACGCUGAAGCGGUCCCACUGAUGUCCGCUAGACUUCGUUUAUUUCACAAAUUUCCAGUUCCUAAAAGCGCUGCUGGGGGGUUCGGUACACGCAAUUGUGACUCUAGCACUGUAGUGAUUACGAGCUAGCGCUCACGACCCACACGCAGUGCACACGUUGAGUAUACGGUAGUUUAUGGGAAAUCGUCGGAUAGAGAAUAAUCUUAAAGUCUUAUAGGUGCACGAUUCAGGUAUCACGGUUUCCUUACUUACUAAUGUUGGACGUAAAAUUAAAUCUGUCUAAAGGGAGCGGAAUUGACAGGUAACGAAUUGAAAUGCUAUAAAAUCGAUUUUUCCCCUUAAUAAGAAUUUUGACUAUUUAUUAUACGUUUGCCAAUUUAUGUACGGUUUUACUUCACAGUGACGUUAGUUAAACUCUCAAAAUUGCACUUGUUGGUUUGCAACUACAUGCUUUGAAUUACUAAUGACACAGCAUAAGAACUAGAAACUAGUUCCAUUCUGUGCCAAUGACGCCCCAAUUGGUCCGACAUAUUGGAGUAAUGGCGUCUAUUUUCACCUUUCAUGGAAUUUGCUCACCCACUUGUGAUCUAUUCGGGUUUUCGGCCUUUACAGUUAUUUCUAGUCAACAAAUGUAGAUGUUUGCUGUCCGAGAAUUGAGUAAUUUGUAAGAAGCUGCAAGGAGGUCUACUGGGCAAAUCGUUGCCAAGAUCUUGAUUUGAGUGCAGAGGAAAUUCCAGGUGACUGA